GAAAGACGUGUGCAGAGAGACAGGAGUCCGACGGAGAGAGAGAGAGAGAGAGAGCGAGCGAGAGAGAGAAAGGAGAUCCCAGUGGAGCAGAUGUCAAAGAAGGAUACCAGUAUCACAUAUCGGUUAGAUGACCAAGGCAGGGCACACAUGACAUGACAGCUAAAGCUCGGAUCGCGAGGAUAUUGCAGGGCGGAUUCAAUGGACAACACCUGUGCACUGAUUUUCUUUACCAUCUACAACUUGACCACCCAGUCGGGAUUCAUGCAAAUUGAGCAAGGUCCCACUGUUCACCGAGUCCAAGGAUGAGAUGAGGAGAAGGGCAUCACUUGUAGUCGGAACCACUCAAAACGGUGCAUACUUCUGCCAUGACAAUAAAAGGAAAAGGAAAUCAAUUUUGGCUGUGAUUGGCAGGGCUCAUUAGAG